GUGUUUUUUAAGCAAAAUGUAGUAUUUAAAGAAUAGGUAGCAACAGAAAGUUAGUGGUUGAUGUAAACUAACACCUACUUUGAAGAAAUUGGGUUUUGUGAAAUAAAAAAUAAAUACAAAGAGUGAGUUUUGAAUAUUACGAAUAUUCGGCUAAUUAAGGUGGUACCACGCGUCAGCGUCCUUUUU
rnacentral:misc_RNA from 1 species